rnacentral:rRNA from 1 species
UAGGGAAUCUUCGGCAAUGGGGGCAACCCUGACCGAGCAACGCCGCGUGAGUGAAGAAGGUUUUCGGAUCGUAAAGCUCUGUUGUAAGUCAAGAACGGGUGUGAGAGUGGAAAGUUCACACUGUGACGGUAGCUUACCAGAAAGGGACGGCUAACUACGUGCCAGCAGCCGCGGUAAUACGUAGGUCCCGAGCGUUGUCCGGAUUUAUUGGGCGUAAAGCGAGCGCAGGCGGUUUGAUAAGUCUGAAGUUAAAGGCUGUGGCUCAACCAUAGUUCGCUUUGGAAACUGUCAAACUUGAGUGCAGAAGGGGAGAGUGGAAUUCCAUGUGUAGCGGUGAAAUGCGUAGAUAUAUGGAGGAACACCGGUGGCGAAAGCGGCUCUCUGGACUGUAACUGACACUGAGGCUCGAAAGCGUGGGUAGCAAACA